rnacentral:rRNA from 1 species
GACGAACGCUGGCGGCGUGCUUAACACAUGCAAGUCGAACGGAAAGGCCCUGCUUUUGUGGGGUGCUCGAGUGGCGAACGGGUGAGUAACACGUGAGUAACCUGCCCUUGACUUUGGUAUAACUUCAGGAAACUGGGGCUAAUACCGGAUAGGAGCUCCUGCUGCAUGGUGGGGGUUGGAAAGUUUCGGCGGUUGGGGAUGGACUCGCGGCUUAUCAGCUUGUUGGUUGGGUAGUGGCUUACCAAGGGUUUGACGGGUAGCCGGCCUGUGAGGGUGACCGGAGAAAUGGGGACGGAGAUAGGGAACAGAAUGGAAGGGGAGGCAGCAGUGGGGAAUAGUGCACAAUGGGAGGAAGCCUGAUGCAGCAAAGCAGCGUGCGGGAUGACGGCCUUCGGGUUGUAAACCGAUUUAGCAUGUGACGAAGCGUGAGUGACGGUAAUGGGUAAAGAAGCACCGGCUAACUACGUG